rnacentral:lncRNA from 1 species
UGGCUCGCCCGUUACCCCGAUGGGGCCAAGGGGGCAGCUGAGAUUGAAGGCUUGGGGCGGCUACCGGAAAUCGCCGCCGCGAUCGCCAAGCUGCUUUCUCCUAAACCCGCACCCCUAAGGUCGCGAGGUGCAGAUGGAGUUGGAGCGGAUCCACGUCCCUCUUCGGACAGACACGCCCUCGCCCUCCAACAACAGCAGCAGACAUUCGGUACUGAAUUUCCAAGAAGGGAAGAUGGUAGGAGCAGGAAGCGAGAAAAACCACCAAUGGGUCUCCAUGCCAUCCAACAGAAAGGAGACGCUCUGAAGACAUAGUCUCUCCAGGCGGCGUGCCCAAAUGACCUUGUCCUGAAAUUAGCCAAAUUAGCCACGUCAAGGCAACCGCGGCACUGACCCAAUUAAGGCCUCACCUUCUCAUUCAGAGCUGAUUCAAAAUUGAUGUUUGAUGCUUGCGUUUUUGCCCUUCCACUUAAUUCCAGCAUUUGUUCUGCUUUUAAUCCCCGAUAAAAUGAUUUGAAU